rnacentral:lncRNA from 13 species
AGAUGAUUGAAAAGUGAGGUGGUUUUUGUUGUUUUUUUGAGCCUCUGAAAUGGGUUCCCUAUCCCUGGUUUUGGUAUAAAUUAAGUUCUCUUAUCACUGUCUGGCAGAGAGGGAGCUAAAUGGAAUAAAGAUGGGAAUGUCUGCUGGCUCCCUCCCUUUCCCAGAUAACCAAAAACUCAUGCUAUAAUAGUCUGCCCAAUUUCCUCCCUUCUUUCCUCUCCCAAACAGGAAGUGUUUUUAUUCCCUUUUUAAUCACUGGGAGAGAGGUGAUACCAAUGACCAUAAUCAAGGGAUAGAAAUAAGAGAGGAAGGAAAGAGAGGAAAACACAAGCAAGGAGCUCAGCCUAGAGAAAGCCCUCGGGAAUUGUGGCGAGGGACACCUGAGAACAGAUGCAGCAGAUGCUGUAGGUUGUGAUGUCUGGAUGACACCUAUUCUCCUCCUCGUUGGGAAGCACCAUCCAGAUAGUCAAACAGAGAUGAUGACUUUGGUAGAGCCCCAGCCAAGAUCAGGGAAGGUGACAGGGCCUGAAGGUUCAAGCGAAGCCAGAGUCCACAAGGAGGACAGAGGAUCACAUACCAGGCCUCAAUUCUGCAUGACCCGCUGGAGAAGCUGGAGCCCUUUGCCAUGGAGCUGCUCUUGCAUCUGGCCCAGGACUCCGAGAAACAAAUGGAGGAGAUCUGGCAGAAGCUGGAGAGGAAACAGAUGCCCUCUGGUGGCAAUUACCUCACUUCCUGCCACCAGCUCCUAUAAACCAGCCUACACCUGUGCCCAUCCUUUGCUCUUGCCAUCUGGCAAAAUGGAAGUGACGUCUUUCCUCCUGCAAAGAUCCAGUCUCUUCUCAUGCCAUGGAUUCCAGCCUUCUCGGGAAAGGUCCCACACUUAUGAGGAAAGCAUCACCCAAAAAUGA